rnacentral:rRNA from 1 species
UUAGCAGCGUGACGCGAACGAAGAGAGCGUCUACGCGUUAAAAAAAGUACCAACCCAAGGGAAGAGAGAACAUUCAGUGUUGAACAUUGGUUAGUGGCGGACGGGUGAGUAACGCGUGGGUGACCUACCCAUAAGAGGGGGAUAACAGUUGGAAACGACUGCUAAUACCGCAUAAGCUUUCUGUUUAAGAUGGGAAGUAAAGGAGGCCUCUUGACAAUGCUUCCGCUUAUGGAUGGGCCCGCGUCUGAUUAGCUGGUUGGUGGGGUAAGAGCCUACCAAGGCGACGAUCAGUAGCCGGCCUGAGAGGGUGAACGGCCACACUGGGACUGAGACACGGCCCAGACUCCUACGGGAGGCAGCAGUGGGGAAUAUUGCGCAAUGGGGGAAACCCUGACGCAGCGACGCCGCGUGAGCGAAGAAGGCCUUAGGGUCGUAAAGCUCUGUUUUAAGGGACGAAUGUCGCGGGUAAUAAUACGAUCUGCGAAUGACGGUACCUUAAGAGGAAGCCCCGGCUAACUACGUGCCAGCAGCCGCGGUAAGACGUAGGGGGCGAGCGUUGUCCGGAAUUACUGGGCGUAAAGAGCACGUAGGCGGGACUUUAAGUCAGGUGUGAAAGACCGUGGCUCAACCACGGGGUUGCACUUGAAACUGGAGUUCUUGAGGGCAGGAGAGGAAAGUGGAUUUCCUGGUGUAGCGGUGAAUGCGUAGAAAUCAGGAGGAACACCGGUGGGCGAAGGCGACUUUCUGGACUGACCCUGACGCUGAGGCGGCGAAAGCGGUGGGUAGCAAACAGAUUAGAUACCUGG